UACAGAGGGGGCAAGCGUUGUCCGGAGUUACUGGGCGUAAAGGGUCCGCAGGCGGCUGUGCAAGUGUCGUGUGAAAGCCCCGUGCUUAACACGGGGAGGCCACGGCAGACGUGCACAGCUCGAGGGAUGCAGAGGGUGGUGGAAUUGCCGGUGUAGUGGUGAAAUGCGUAGAGAUCGGCAGGAACACCCAGGGCGAAAGCAGCCACCUGGGCAUCAUCUGACGCUGAGGGACGAAAGCGUGGGGAGC
rnacentral:rRNA from 1 species